GUGGCGCAUGCAUGUAAUCCCAGCUACUCUGAGGCAGGAGAAUCGCUUGGACCCGGGAGGCGGAGGUUGCGGUGAGCUCAGAUGGCGCCAUUGUACUCCUGUCUGGGCAACAAGAGCAAAACACAGUCUUAAAAAAAAAAAAAAAUUCUUACACUUACAUGCGUAGAGGUCAAUUUUUAACUGGAUUGGUGGCAAAAGAAGAGCUGGAAAUGAUGUUUAAUGAUACUAUGAUGCUUACACUGAGCCGUCUUGUUUGGGUGGUCUAAGGUAGCAGUGAAUCUAAAUAGUCAUUGCCAGUUGAAAAACUAUUAAUGAACCAUCUCCCUCCACAUUCCCCUUUCUUUAAAACAUUUAAAUAUUCUUAACUUAGUUGCACACUAUUGAUGUGAUAAAAACUUAUAAGCCUUUUAAGUUUAGAGUUGUAUUAUUUGGUAGGAUGAUGAUUGUGAUUUAAUCUGCUGAUCAUUAGUUUACUUUUGUUUUCUGAGUCAGAUGCUCACCCAGUUUUACCAUGAUUUUUGGAAAGCUUGGCUAGAAAUAAAAUAGAACAUUUGCUUCUCUGUCCCCAAGCAUUAUGUUAUUUCUUAUUUCUCUUUAUAAUUCCCUCUCUGUCCAGGUAUACCUGGUUUAAGACUUCUCAUUUGUAACCUCAGUGUUCACAUUUGAAACAAGAAAAGUGCAUUAACAUGAGAAUCAUUCUGGUGCAAAGAUUCUCAGGAUUUGUAAUAUCCUUAAGAAUCACCCAAGGAGCUUAUUGAAAAUGCACAUUCCUGGAUUUACUCUCAAGUAUGGUACCCCAGGGUCUGCAUACUUCACAAGCGUCCCUGGUGGUUUUAGGGCAAGUGGUGAAAAAAGUACACUUGGAGAAACUAUUCUAGAGUUGUAGACUAGACUAGGGAAUAAAGAAACAUAAAUGUCCUUCAUUCCUGAGCACUAACCCCGCCAUUAUGUGAAUGCAUAUUAAUGGAUACUUAAUCACAUUGAAUUACAGUAUGCAGAUUUUAUUAAGAACAUGUCUACCUCUUAUUCUGAUGCUGUGAAUGUCUACCACAAUGAGAAAGUAAUUUUAAAAUCAUUUCUAUUUGUGUAAGAGAAACCCGAGUUUGAGGACCUUAUUUUAUUCUACGCUGUUUAGAUUUGUAUCCUCUGGUAAUUUAGUGGCAUUAGUCACCUGCUAAUUAAUCUUUUUCCUUUCCCC
rnacentral:lncRNA from 1 species